rnacentral:rRNA from 1 species
GAUGAACGCUGGCGGCGUGCCUAAUACAUGCAAGUCGAGCGAAUGGAUUAAGAGCUUGCUCUUAUGAAGUUAGCGGCGGACGGGUGAGUAACACGUGGGUAACCUGCCCAUAAGACUGGGAUAACUCCGGGAAACCGGGGCUAAUACCGGAUAACAUUUUGAACCGCAUGGUUCGAAAUUGAAAGGCGGCUUCGGCUGCCACUUAUGGAUGGACCCGAGUCGCAUUAGCUAGUAGGUGAGGUAACGGCUCACCAAGGCAACGAUGCGUAGCCGACCUGAGAGGGUGAUCGGCCACACUGGGACUGAGACACGGCCCAGACUCCUACGGGAGGCAGCAGUAGGGAAUCUUCCGCAAUGGACGAAAGUCUGACGGAGCAACGCCGCGUGAGUGAUGAAGGCUUUCGGGUCGUAAAACUCUGUUGUUAGGGAAGAACAAGUGCUAGUUGAAUAAGCUGGCACCUUGACGGUACCUAACCAGAAAGCCACGGCUAACUACAUGCCAGCAGCCGCCGUAA